GACAGAGGGUGCAAACGUUGUUCGGAAUUACUGGGCGUAAAGCGCGUGUAGGCUGCUUCGAAAGUCGGAUGUGAAAGCCCUGGGCUCAACCUAGGAAGUGCACUCGAAACUUCGAGCUGGAGUCCUGGAGAGGAAGGCGGAAUUCUCGGUGUAGAGGUGAAAUUCGUAGAUAUCGAGAGGAACACCGGUGGCGAAGGCGGCCUUCUGGACAGUGACUGAACGCUGAGACGCGAAAGCGUGGGGAGCAAACAGGGAUUAAGAAACCCUUGGUAAC
rnacentral:rRNA from 1 species